rnacentral:tRNA from 1 species
GCCUCACUGCGACGGACUAGUGUGAAGCCGGGUCGCAACCGGCAGGCAGCAGGGACAGCGGUCAAGUGUGGGUUCGAAUCCCGCGCGUUGCA